UGGGGAAUAUUGCACAAUGGGCGCAAGCCUGAUGCAGCCAUGCCGCGUGUAUGAAGAAGGCCUUCGGGUUGUAAAGUACUUUCAGCGGGGAGGAAGGCGAUAAGGUUAAUAACCUUGUCGAUUGACGUUACCCGCAGAAGAAGCACCGGCUAACUCCGUGCCAGCAGCCGCGGUAAUACGGAGGGUGCAAGCGUUAAUCGGAAUUACUGGGCGUAAAGCGCACGCAGGAGGUCUGUCAAGUCGGAUGUGAAAUCCCCGGGCUCAACCUGGGAACUGCAUUCGAAACUGGCAGGCUAGAGUCUUGUAGAGGGGGGUAGAAUUCCAGGUGUAGCGGUGAAAUGCGUAGAGAUCUGGAGGAAUACCGGUGGCGAAGGCGGCCCCCUGGACAAAGACUGACGCUCAGGUGCGAAAGCGUGGGGAGCAAACA
rnacentral:rRNA from 1 species